AAAAUGUUCUGGACACCCCGUAAACCAAGACCUCUAGGGUGUAUAAAUACGUCUUUCAUACCCACGCCCGAGGGUGGUGUGGGAAUAGUAAAACCG
rnacentral:ncRNA from 1 species